rnacentral:rRNA from 2 species
AGCUCCAAUAGCGUAUAUUAAAGUUGUUGCGGUUAAAAAGCUCGUAGUUGGAUCUCGGCGGGCAGGGGGUGGUUCGCUCUUCAGCGCUACUGCCCCGCUUUGCCCGUGUGAUUGGCGGAGGUUUCGGGGUGCUCUUCGUUGAGUGACUCGGAGCGCCGUCAGGUUUACUUUGAAAAAAUUAGAGUGCUCAAAGCAGGCUUUUCACGCUUGAAUAUUCGUGCAUGGAAUAAUGGAAUAGGAACUCGUUUCUAUUUUGUUGGUUUUCGGAAAUCGAGUUAAUGAUUAACAGGGACAAUUGGGGGCAUUAGUAUUCAGACGACAGAGGUGAAAUUCUUGGACCGUCUGAAGACUGACUACUGCGAAAGCAUUUGCCAAGAGUGUUUUCA